rnacentral:rRNA from 1 species
UACGUAGGGGGCGAGCGUUGUUCGGAAUUACUGGGCGUAAAGGGUUUGUAGGUGGCUUGUUAAGUCAGACGUGAAAUCCCUCAGCUUAACUGGGGAACUGCGUCUGAUACUGGCGAGCUUGAGUGCAGGAGAGGAACGCGGAAUUCCAGGUGUAGCGGUGAAAUGCGUAGAUAUCUGGAGGAACACCGGUGGCGAAGGCGGCAUCCUGGACCGGCAUUGACGCUGAGGCGCGAAAGCCAGGGGAGCAAAGCGGG